GAAGCAAAGGAUACAGUGAUUGGGGGACCUCCUGUGAAAAAGUCUUGGGGAAUGGAAGUUCUGACUCCAGCAUAACAGCUGAAGCUGGGGAUUGGCCUGACCCAGCUCCACUGGGAAAAGGUCCCAAUGAUUAAUGUUGAGGAGGGAGGGGAAGUGGCAUCACAGAUACUGAUUAUAAUACAAGGAGCUUUAUUCAUAACUACCCAAACGUGGAAGCAACCGAGAUGUCCCCCAACAGGCAAGAAGAUACAUAAACUGGGAUACAUCAAGGCAAUGGGAACGCCAUUCAGCAACAAAAAGAGAUGAACUACAGAGACAUGAGGAGAACCCCAAAUGCAUAUUACCGGCUGAAAGAAGACAUCUGAAAAGGUCACACACCAUAAACCCCCGUCAUAUAGGAUGCUACGGAGAAGACAAAAGUAUGGAGACAGCAAAAAGAUCAGCGGGUUGCCAGGAGUCAGGGUGGAGAGAGGGAAGAACCCAGGUGUUUCUCAUCCCAGGAUUCCCCUGCAAUCCCGGUAGAACACCGAGAUCCCGAGAGAUCCUGCAAGAUCGUGCUGCUUCUGCCAAGAGUGGUUGCAGCAGCAGCGUCUGGGGUCUGAUUCCACCAUUUUCUGAGCCACCCUUGAAACUCAG
rnacentral:lncRNA from 1 species